UCUUCGUUCGUUGACCGAGGCCCAGUCCCCACCUCCACAGAUCUGGGCCUUUGGCCCAUGGUGAGCAGCACCCGAGCCCCUGUGCAAUGUUGGGCCGGCCUCUGUUUCAGCCCAUAGGUUUUUUUCCUUUGUGCGAUUUUAUCAUUUUCCAGAUACUGUGGUUUUUUACAGAAAAGCCCCUUUUCUUCAUGCAUUUAAUAACUUCACAACCGUGCAUCAGAUCUAAAUAAAUUAUAUAUGAAAGUUGCUUAGAAUUUUGUCUAGUUUAAUAAUAUGCAACUUUCAUCCAUGUUUGAAAUGUUUAAAAUGCUGUUUGAUUAAAUUUGCUCCUAUGUCAUGUUAAAAUGCUUUAAUUCAUAACUAAAUAACCGUAGCUCCAAACUUAACAAACUUUAUAUGUAAAUGGGGUAGAAAAAUGCCUAGUUUAACAUGGUGGCAUCACUUUGCAUGUUUAACAACUAUAAAAUUUAGUUUAGGGCAGAACAGCAUCAAACCUAAUAUAUGCAUAUGGGGAUUUACCGAAAUUGUUGUUUGUUGCUUCCGGCCUCAUUUAAACUUGACUAGAUAGGUAGUUUUAUUUUGCUUCACCCUCUUACCAUGCCAACAACAUUUAAUAUUGUUGGGUACAUAAACGAGAUCGAACUAAAUAACUUGAAUGUGGUGUUUCGUCAAUAUGCAACGGAGUUGCAUAUUGAGCUCCACUUAAUUUGUAGGAUUGUUUGUGCACUUUGCCAUGCCAUGCAUAUUUAAACCGGACAUGCAUCAUACUUGAUUGUGCAUCAUGCCAUGAUUAUGUGAUGUUUAUUUACUAUGUUAUUUGCUCCUUUCCGGGUUACUUCUCGCAUUAUCUUCGUUUUUCGUUUCGGAGUUGUGAGGAUCCGCUCAUCUACGUCCGGCUGUCUUCUUCAUGGACUCGUUCUUCUUCCUUGCAGGAUUUCAGGCAAGAUGGCCAUACCCUCGAAAUCACUUCUAUCUUUGCUUGCUAGUUGCUCGCUCUUUUGCUAUGCCUAUGCUGCGAUACCUACCACUUGCUUAUCAUGCCUCCCAUAUUGUUGAACCAAGCCUCUAACCCACCUUGUCCUAGCAAACCGUUGUUUGGCUAUGUUACCGCUUUGCUCAGCCCCUCUUAUAGCAUUGUUAGUUGCAGGUGAAGAUUGAAGUUUGUUCCUUGUUUGAACAUGGAGAUAUUGUUCCUUGUUGGAACAUGUUUACUUGUUGGGAUAUCACAAUAUCUCUUAUCUAAUUAAUGCAUCUAUAUACUUGGUAAAGGGUGGAAGGCUCGGCCUUAUGCCUGGUGUUUUGUUCCACUCUUGCUGCCCUAGUUUCCGUCAUAUCGGUGUUAUGUUCCCGGAUUUUGCGUUCCUUACGCGGUUGGGUAUAAUGGGAACCCCUUGACAGUUCGCUUUGAAUAAAACUCCUCCAGCAAGGCCCAACCUUGGUUUUACCUUUCGCCACCUAGACAUUUUCCCUUGGGUUAGGCCAACCCAAGGUCAUCUUUAUUUUAACUCCCCGGGCCAGUGCUUGUCUAAGUGUUGGUCCGAAACAAAGCCACUUGCGGCGCCACCUCGAGGAAACUUGAGGGAUGGUUUUAGAUAUACGUAGUGUUCAUCCGGUGUUGCCCUGAGAACGAGAUAUGUGCAGCUCCCAUCAAGAUGUCGGCACAUCGGGCGGUCUUGCUGGACUUGUUUUACCAUUGUCGAGGAUGUCUUGUAACCGGGAUUCCAAGCCUGAUCGGGGCUUCCCGCUAGAAGGAAUAUCCUUCGUUGACUGUGAGAGCUUGUGAUGGGCUAAGUUGGGACACCCCUGCAGGGUUAUAAACUUUUGAAAGCCGUGCCCGUGGUUAUGGGAAGAUGGGAAUUUGUUAAUGUUCGGUUGUAGAAAACCUGAAGUUGACCUUAAUUAAAAUACAUCAACCGCGUGUGUAACCGUGAUGGUCUCUUUUCGGCGGAGUCCGGGAAGUGAACACGGUGUUGGAGUUAUGCUUGACGUAGGUUGUUCUAGGAUCACUUCUUGAUCAUAGUUUCUCGAUCGUGCUUUGCCUUCUCUUCUCGCUCUCAUUUGCGUAUGUUAGCCACCAUAUAUGCUAGUCGCUUGCCGCAGCUCCACCUCAUACCUUACCUUACCCAUAAGCUUAAAUAGUCUUGAUCGCGAGGGUGUGAGAUUGCUGAGUCCCCGUGACUCACAGAUACUUCCAAAACCAGUUUGCAGGUGCCGUUGAACCGAGCAGGUGACGCAACCAAGCUCAAGGAGGAGCUCGAUGAAGAUCUUGUCCUUUGUGUUGUUUCGUUCUAGUUGAUCAGUAGUGGAGCCCAGUCAGGACGAUCGGGAAUCUGUGUAGCAUUUGGGGUAGUCUUCUUUUAUUUUGGCUCCGUAGUCGAGCCUUGAUUGUAUUUGGAUGAUGUAAUGCUUUAUUCAUGUAAUUGUGUGAAGUGGCGAGUGUAAGCCAACUAUCUAUCUCUGUCCCUUAUAUAUUACAUGGGUUGUGUGAAGAUUACCUCACUUGCGACAUUGCUUUCAAUUCGGUUAUGCCUCUAAGUCGUGCUUCGACACGUGGGAGAUAUAGCCGCAUCGAGGGCGUUACAGGUAUAUUGCAGAAUAGAGAGGUUACCAUCCACAAGGUUGAAGGAAAUAUGCCCUAGAGGCAAUAAUAAAGUUAUUAUUUAUUUCCUUAUUUCA
rnacentral:lncRNA from 1 species